rfam:Danio rerio unplaced genomic contig CTG6325, GRCz11 reference primary assembly.
GUCUCUGUGGCGCAAUCGGUUAGCGCGUUCAGCUGUUAACUGAAAGGUUGGUGGUUCAAGCCCACCCAGGGACG